rnacentral:rRNA from 1 species
GCCGCGUGAGUGAGGAAGGUUUUCGGAUCGUAAAGCUCUGUCAGAAGGGAAGAAGUGUUAUACAGUUAAUACCUGUAUAAUUUGACGGUACCUUCAGAGGAAGCACCGGCUAACUCCGUGCCAGCAGCCGCGGUAAUAAUCGAAUUCCCGCGGCC